UCUGUUUAUUUUUGCUGUUAGUACCAUGUGUUGAUUUAAAUUUAAAUUUCAAUACAUUUCACAGUAAAUUGAGCAAUGCACAAAGUAAAAGGCCCAAUUGUUUGUGUUGAAAACCAGAGGCAGCUCUACAGUCGGUAAUUUUCACUCUGCAACUGAUGAUAGCUUCGGCUCAGCUGGGACCAUUGAAACUUUUGAUGGUUCCAAAUUCCGAUGCAACGUCUUUUUACCAAAUACAUCUCUUCGCGAAAUAAAUCAGACCUUCCAACGAUACAAUUUUACAUCGGGCGGUUUAACGCCAAAGCUCUACGACUUCUUCAGUUUGGCCUUGAGAAUUUCAAUCGGUGAGUGGAUGCCCAUAUACAUACAUAUAAAUGCAGAAUCUGAUGCCAGUUCAACCGUAAACUUUUCGGUCGAAACGAAGUACGGACAUGCAAAAAAUUAGCUGCAGAUCCAACGGGUUUGGUAGCACGCCAAAUUUGGGCCUGACUCGAUAACAACAAUAGGAAUCAUUAAGAGCCACUACUUUAUUGAAAAAAUUUAAUAUUUUGAAAUAAACUAAUUUAUGAUGACAAAA